CAAUCCCAUCCGCCCGCGCACCGCGCCCAUCCUCCGAAACGUGAGGGUUCCGCCAACUCUCCGCAUCGUCUCCUCCCUGCUCCCUCCUCUCCCACGUCGCUGCCCUCAAGCCCGCGCCCCUCCACCUCAUCUCCUCUCCGCUCCCUCCUCUCCAACGCCGCCGCCUUUGAUGCGCCGUUAGGGACGCCGUCGACACUACGUAGCGGUGGAGCUCAGUCCACUCCUAACCCUAUUCGCUCGAUUGACAAGACCAGGGCGACAGAUUGGAUCUAGGGCGCCCGCAUGGCCUCGCCGCCGCCGCCGGCUGGAUUCGCUAGCCGCCGCUUGGAGUCACCCUGGCUGCCGCCUCGAGUCACAUCCGUCGCCGCCGCGAAUCAGCUCCACCGUUGCGGUCAGGAAUCCCGUCCAGGCAAGGAAUUUGAUUGACGGAGGCAUCACUAUCUGGCGCUGGAUUAUACAUCACGUUCUGCACUCGCUCCGCAGAUGGGAGGAAACAGUGACGACAAGGCAGUUGUUAUGCAGAUAAUGAUGUUUUUGACUGGAAUCAACACCCUUCUACAGAGUUUCUUUGGUACACGAUUGCCUGCGGUGAUUGGUGGAUCAUACACCUUUGUUCUACCUACCAUUUCGAUCAUACUUGCGGGACACUACACCAACGAACCAGAUCUACACACUAUAUGUUGAAAAGAAGGAAUUCCUCAAAAUCAUGCGUGGAACACAAGGUAUCGCAAGGCAUUCAGGUUCUCUUUAUAGCUUUCCUACACAGGAACAUAUUGCAAAAUUAAGAUACAUAACAUUGUUCCUGACUUAUGAAAGACGGUCGUUCUACCUACAGGUCUGCCUUAUAUCUACAGGUAUAUCCAUGCAUUCUUUAUUCUUUUUUUGCAGUGACCUACUGAUCUUCGUGAUUUAGUUUAGUGCUAGAGUUAGCAAAAUCUACUGAUCUUAUGUCUUUGUCAUGUUCCCCUUGUUUGGGUGGUCUACCUUUGGCUAUGAAUGUACGUAUAUUAUUGUCAUGUUCCCCUUAUCCCUGCAUCACUGAACAAUGCUGGCAAACUAAUGUCCCUUUGCCCUAUGUAAUGGUGUUACAGACUGCCAUUUGUUUUGUCGAGCUUACUAACUGAUUUUUUUUACAUUAUCAUGAAUAUGCUUUAGGCAUGCCUCUUCUCUGUUUCGGUGAAACAAGGUUUAGGGAACUCUUUUUAAAGACAUGUGUAUACACUAUACAGAACACAUGUUUCAUCGUCUUCGCUUUUUUUCAUGAGUUGUUGAAAAGAUCUUAUGAAGCUUGAUUGAUAAUGUUUCAACUCAGAUGAAGUGGUCUGUAUGAUAAGCUUUUGUAGAUCCUGGGGAUCGUUAUACCUUCUGUACAAUUCUCUGUUCUGGAUUCAAAUAGUUUGGGAGUGUUGCAUGCCUUUGUAUUGUGUUCAUAAACCUUGCUAAGUUUCUCCAUGUCCAGUCUUUUCUUCUAAGAAAAAACUCUUUUGUUGCAUCCACAUUAACCAUAUGUAUUUCCAUUUUCAUUUUUGAAUUGUAAACUGUAGCUGCUUAAAACUUUGGUAUAAAAUAAAGCCCUUAUUGGUAAAUGAGACACGUUAUUAGCAAUGUUUCACAUUUUCUUACUUGCAAUACCAUGCUUGCCUGUUCAGGUCUUCCAAGACCUAAAUCAUGAAAUCCAGCACAUACAACACCUUUUUUUAAACUUCGGUUACCCUGACACAAGCCUCCGUUCAAUUUUCUUAUACGGAGGGGUUAGAAAUAGUUACCUUACGUGCUUGCUUUCAAAACUACAUCUACUGAUAAAUGUUUUUUUUUCAAACCACACUGGGUAUCAUGGAUGGAUGAGGUUGUGGCAGUAGUUCGUGGGUGCAGUAUCUAUCUUGAUAAAGCGAUCGAUCAUGGCGCAUUGGAGGCAGAACAAGAGAAAAGCUUUGGGCGUCUGUGGUGUUGAACAUUCAGUGUUUAUGUGCUUUGUACAUGCACGACCAGUUCAGUAACUAGAUGGUCUUUUCUACUUUACUGGUGCUGCUACUUUUUCACAUGCUAGCUUAUUUGAAAAGCGCCAACAAUGUGUGCCACAUGUAAACAGUCCAUGUUGAAAGAAUAGAAGCAGAAGUGUGGAGAUGAUGUAAUUGGUCAGUCAGGAAAUUCAGUCUCAAUGAGCUCAACUAACGACAUGUGUGAGUUGAGCCUGAGGUCAUUUUCAAAGUAACAGAAGUAUUUUACUUUCCUUUUCAUGUCAGUGGUUGAUGCUACUUACAUGUUGUAUCAGGUUAUCAAAGGGCAGCAAUCAUAUACAUUUUAUAAACAAAUAAAACACUUUUAUGAAGCAUGUAGUAGACAAAUAGUGCUACUGAUAAAUGAUUUUUUUUCAAAGCACAAAUGGUGUUUAGUGGGUCUCUGUGUCAGUUUGCGAAAUGGGAGAUUACAAAAAAAUACACAUAUUUUCAACAUGGCAUGGUCUUUAAUGAGAUUCUAUACUCUACCAAAUUAAAAUCUAUAGGUACAUGUCAUUGUAGACAACAAACCUCCAUUAUUUCUUUAUUAAAGAGGAUUGAUUUUAUUCGCAAAAAGGAGGGUUAAAUUUUGUUAGGAUUAAUUAAUGAUUGUUAAUUAUGGGAUAAUCCCUGCUUUCACUAACCGCAGGCAGUUGCAUCUGCCGCGUCGGUUCCCUGCCGAAUAGGCACCCUCCCUGAACAGACGCCUUCCUAUUGGUGUCUCUUCCCUUUGUAUAAAUAGCAGAUCUCAUCUAAUAUAGCACGCUCGCCGUUGAGCGAGUCGAUCGAUUCCGGCGAUCGCCGGAACAAGAAGAUCCACAAGCCAGAGGUGAGAAAGAAAAUGCCACGGUGCAGGAACGCAUCGCGGCUUCCGCGUUCUUCGUUGCCACCAUCGGAACGGCGCGGGGCCGUCGAACCAACCAUGCCGCAACCUGCGCCAGCGCCGCCACAGCCCGAUGUGCCGGCCUGGCCUCCCGCCGGUCCGGCUGCACCAAGGCUCGAGGCCGAUGAGAACAUCGACCCGGCGCUGGCGGCUCCGCGCCGCCUCCGUUCUGGUGCUCGGCGCAUGGCUGGGUAGUAUGCCCCUGUAUCACCACGACUUUGUGGUGGCCGAUCCGGUCGUCGCGGCGCCUCAGGAGGAGGGAACCGUCGUCAUCGACGAUGAAGAAGUUGGGGACGCGCCGCUGCAGCAUCCGACCCCGGCGGUUGUAGAGGCCGAUGGCGGCGCGCCGCUCCCGAUGCUGCUGACGAUGGCGCACAUCCCGGCCACACAUCAAGUGCAAGUUCAUGACGGUGACACGCUCGCCUUCGUGUCCGCGCUGACCGGAGCCUCCGCCUUCUGCCUUCGGCUCUGGCGUGAGAGGUUCCACUAGCACCAUGGUCGUCGCCGACGUCGCACCACCGGACUUGCCAUCCCCGACGUCCGCAACUCCUCCGCCUUCGCCGCGCAUAGACGCUCGCCGAC
rnacentral:rRNA from 1 species